rnacentral:rRNA from 1 species
AUUGAACGCUGGCGGCAUGCCUUACACAUGCAAGUCGAACGGCAGCACGGGAGCAAUCCUGGUGGCGAGUGGCGAACGGGUGAGUAAAGUAUCGGAACGUGCCCAGUCGUGGGGGAUAACGUAGCGAAAGUUACGCUAAUACCGCAUACGAUCUAUGGAUGAAAGCGGGGGAUCGCAAGACCUCGCGCGAUUGGAGCGGCCGAUAUCAGAUUAGGUAGUUGGUGGGGUAAAGGCUCACCAAGCCGACGAUCUGUAGCUGGUCUGAGAGGACGACAAGCCACACUGGGACUGAGACACGGCCCAGACUCCUACGGGAGGCAGCAGUGGGGGAUUUUGGACAAUGGGCGAAAGCCUGAUCCAGCCAUGCCGCGUGCAGGAUGAAGGCCUUCGGGUUGUAAACUGCUUUUGUACGGAACGAAAAGGUUUGGCCUAAUAAGCUGAGCUCAUGACGGUACCGUAAGAAUAAGCACCGGCUAACUACGUGCCAGCCGCCGCAGUAA